GACGAACGCUGGCGGCGUGCCUAAUACAUGCAAGUCGAGCGGGCCUCCGGAGGUGCUUGCACCUCCGGAAGGGCAGCGGCGGACGGGUGAGUAACACGUGGGCAACCUGCCUUUGAGGCCGGGAUAACACCGGGAAACCGGUGCUAAUACCGGAUACGUCCUCUUUCGCGCCUGCGAGAGGGGGGAAAGACGGUCUUUAAGCCCGUCGCUCAAAGAGGGGCCCGCGGCGCAUUAGCUGGUUGGUGGGGUAAGGGCCUACCAAGGCGACGAUGCGUUGCCGACCUGAGAGGGUGAUCGGCCACACUGGGACUGAGACACGGCCCAGACUCCUGCGGGAGGCAGCAGUAGGGAAUCAUCCGCAAUGGGCGAAAGCCUGACGGUGCAACGCCGCGUGAGUGAGGAAGGUUUUCGGAUUGUAAAGCUCUGUUGUGAGGGAAGAACAGCUUCCGGAGGAAAUGCCGGAGGUUUGCCGGUACCUCACCAGAAAGCCCCGGCUAACUACGUGCCAGCCGCCGCAGUAA
rnacentral:rRNA from 1 species